rnacentral:misc_RNA from 1 species
GAUGAAGAACGUAGCGAAAUGCGAUAAGUAAUGUGAAUUGCAGAAUUCAGUGAAUCAUCGAAUCUUUGAACGCACAUUGCGCCCGCCAGUAUUCUGGCGGGCAUGCCUGUCCGAGCGUCAUUUCAACCAUCAAGCCCCCGGGCUUGUGUUGGGGACCUGCGGCUGCCCGCAGGCCCUGAAAACCAGUGGCGGGCUCGCUGUCACACCGAGCGUAGUAGCAAUCACCUCGCUCAGGGCGUGCUGCGGGUUCCGGCCGUUAAACAGCCUUACAAAACCCAAGGUUGACCUCGGAUCAGGUAGGAAGACCCGCUGAACUUAAGCAUAUCAUAAGCGGAGA